ACAGGAGAUCAUGACUCCUGAUGGCUUGUGAAAUUGCGCCUGAGAUCUCACUCUGAAUCACUAUGAAGAGAAGCAGCCUGCAUGUGGGUUGGAGAAGAAGAUGUUGUCUCCCAUCUGGCUGACUUCACAGCAGACUGACAGUCUGUUGCAGUCCUCUUGUGACUCCCUGCUGCAUCGUGUUCAGCCCACUGCCAGAAGCCCCACUGAAUUAAUCCAGGCACAUUUCUGCUAAUGCAUCAGACUGAUAUCUACUUAAAUUUCAGAACUUCCUACCUCCCCAUAUUAGUGGAAAGAUCCUCUUUUAUCCUAACAUGGCACAUCACUUUAUGUCUGUACCUGCAAGAACGCUUUUAUUAAAUGUCUGGGAUAAUAAAAGAUGUUAA